GAAUAAAAGUCAAAAAGAGACAAAUUAUUGUUAAUAAUUAAAUUGAAUUUAAAUUCUUAUUCAAG
rnacentral:tRNA from 1 species